UCAAAUCUUCCAACAAUCUUGGUGCCCCAGAAAGACCAGCUAAGGCUCGUGAGGCCCUGCACAACCGGGUGAGGCUCAGGCCCAGGCACGCUGAGCUGGGGGCAGGCCGCACAGUGGUUAGAGUGACCACGGCUGCUGGAGGCAGACCACGGCUUGGAUGUGGACUCUGUCCGCUUCUCCAAACGCUGACCUGGAGUCGCUGGCGCUCCCCGAGUCUGUGAAAUGGGCGAGGCGCUGGGACCGGCCCCACGGCUGCUGUGGGCCUGGAGAGCCUGAAGUUGAAGACAAGGGGCCACGACUCAUGGAUCACAGCCUGCCCAAGAGAAAGCCUCUCCCACAGGGCUGUGACUUCGAGGAUGCCCAGAGCCGGCCCCGUCACCGCCACCCCUUCAGUCAACAGCGUCACCUCCAUGGUCUUACCAGCCCAGACACAGCCACCCUCCAUGGUGGUGUGAAAUACAACGCCACCCCCCUACCAUGAGGGUGUCUGGCCUCCUCUGGCUGGUCUGGGGGCGUCUGGAAGGGGUGCAGCUGGAGCCAGAGAGCAGAGUGCUGCUGGAGCAGAGUCUGCAAAGGGUUUUCAGCAGAUGUGGAAAGAGAUGGCCUCGGCCUGGGUGAGAAGAACCGGCUGGGGGAAGGGCUGCUGAUACAAUCCAGGGCGCCCUGUUAAAGUGGAAU
rnacentral:lncRNA from 1 species